AGCUUUCAAAAUCCUCAUCAGCCCUAAACACCGGUCUGAGUGGUUGUAAUAGGAGGAAAAGUAAAGUUGAAACUGGCUCAGAUUCUCUUGUGACACACGAGCUGUUCUAAACAAAA
rnacentral:snoRNA from 1 species